GAUCUGUAUUUAUUUAUUUUUGAGGUUAUGCCAGUCGUAGGGCUACAAAUUGUUCUAUUAAUUUAGGUUAAUAGUGAAUAAUUCAUUUAAUCUUUAUAUUUACUGAUUAGAAACAUUAUACAUAAUCAAAUUAUGUCGGGUAAAAUCAGGAGAGAUGUGUUAAAAGCAUUUAAAUCCUUGCACCGAGCUAGAACUUCUGUUUUUAAUGGAGACGAAUUUGCUCUUCAAGUUGCACGAAAUAAGAUAAAUGAAGAAUUUGAGAAAAACAAACACAUUACAGAUGAAAAUGUCAUUCGUGAGAUGAUUAAGUACUCUAAAGAAGUGGAAAUGGAGUUAAGGACCACAGUAGUUCAAGCGAAAGAAAUUGAACCUGGAAAGUAUGAAGUAAGAAUAACAGAGGAUACGGCUAAAAUGGAGAAUAUCCCAUUUCAGGAUGUUCCUGAGGAGGUGCUUCUCACAAACAAGAGAAAGGCAUCUACAAAAUGUAGUGGGAAACAAAGUACAUUAGAGUCCCAUUAGUUCGAACCAUUGGGAACAAAGUAAUAUUUUUGGACUAACCAGAUUUGUAGGAGAAGCUGUAUAGAAGAAGCUUUCAAGGUCAUCAGGAUUUUGGUAGUUAUUUCUUCAGAUCCCAGGAUGUUUCAUGUGAGUGGGAGCAUUAGCAGGAAACAUGCUCAUCCGUUUGUGAAGGCAUUCAUUCAGUGAGCAGUACCUCUCAUUCAUUUGCAGAAAUCUUUUAACAUCUGAUAUUAAAAGCAAACACUCCACCAAAAAACUCACUGACUUAUCUACAACCAAGAUAAAAUUCUGUCAUGAGCUUUCUUUGCCGAUAAAGAUGUAUGGCUGCAAGAAAGUAUUUGUGCCAUAGAUUUUGAAGUUUUAUCACGAGCUUCCUUCAUCGAUAAAGACGUAUGGCUGCAAGAAGAUAUUUCUGCCUUGAAUCUUCAAGUUUUGUCACGCAGAGUCAGCAAAGCUCAUGACUAAAAGCUAUGAUCCGCCAGUAGCCCUACUUAAAGCUUGUGAUAAAACUUGAAGAUUCAAGGCAGAAAUACCUUCUUGCAGCCAUACAUCUUUAUCAACGAAUGAAGCUCAUGACAAAACUUCAAAAUUUAAGAUGAAAUUCUACUAUGAGAACUAAUAAGAUAGUGAGUAUGAUCUGUUCUGGUAUGGAAAUGAAUAUUCAAUAGUAGUUGCAAAUCUUACGUUGAUCUUUGACCUUUUUAUCUUACUAAAUAAAUUAUUAUAUUAACACUAUAAUCUAUGCAAGAAGCUGUAAAUAAUAUUAGUUGUUUAUUUUAAUAUAAACUUAUUAUUGUUGGUAUGAAGUAAAUUAUCUAUGUAAUUGUAAACUUACCAUUUUAGCUCCCAUGUGGCACAAUGUCUAGUCAUAAACUACUCAGAAGAUUCAAGCACGUGUAAGUAAGCCCUUGGAAUGAACAUGUUAAAAAGCAUGAUUUUGGUUAAAAUUGCAAAGAAUUGUACUGCUUAGUAUAUAAUAAAAUGUAUAAUACCAUUAUUAUUAAAUUUGUAUUGUUUA